rnacentral:rRNA from 1 species
AACGAACGCUGGCGGCAUGCCUAACACAUGCAAGUCGAACGAUGCCUUCGGGCCUAGUGGCGCACGGGUGCGUAACGCGUGGGAAUCUGCCUUUCGGUUCGGAAUAACUCAGGGAAACUUGAGCUAAUACCGGAUAACGUCGCACGACCAAAGAUUUAUCACCGAAAGAUGAGCCCGCGUAGGAUUAGCUAGUUGGUGAGGUAAAGGCUCACCAAGGCGACGAUCCUUAGCUGGUCUGAGAGGAUGAUCAGCCACACUGGGACUGAGACACGGCCCAGACUCCUACGGGAGGCAGCAGUGGGGAAUAUUGGACAAUGGGCGAAAGCCUGAUCCAGCAAUGCCGCGUGAGUGAUGAAGGCCUUAGGGUUGUAAAGCUCUUUUACCCGGGAAGAUAAUGACGGUACCGGGAGAAUAAGCCCCGGCUAACUCCGUG